rnacentral:lncRNA from 1 species
ACUUCACGGGAAACACAAUAAGUCACUCUACCCAGUGUCAAGAAGUAACUAAGCCUAAGUUAAGACAAGUUCAUUAUUCAACUUUGCCAGUGCAAAUUGUUUUCCAAUUUGAAUUUUCAAACCCAUUUGAACUUUUAUCUCUAAAAUGUCGCUGCAUGAGAGCAAGUAUUAUGACUUUCAGGUAGGCAAUUCUAACUGAAUUGAGAUAUAUAAGUUUUGUUUGAGAUAUAUAAGUAUGAUAAUGUUUUUCAUUGGGGGUGGGGGUGGGGGGAGUUAGUACCAAGAAAACACUACUAGUAUAAUUAAGAAAUGUUCAUAUUGCACAAGGAACCAUCCACACAACCCACCAGCAUGUUAGUAAGAUGGAAAUGUCCACCCACAAUGCCUUUCAGAGGUUUGGGGCCUGAUGACAGAGUCAGCCGUUAACCUGUGUCUGAUUAGAGCUGGGAAAGGCUUUGGUUUAGAGGCCAAGGAAAAAUGGCUGUACUGGGGGAACAGAUUAUUUAUAACACAAGCUCUUAAAUGCUUGUGAAAACCUCAAGUUUCGGAAGCUUCUCUGUUGAGAAAGAAGUAAUAAUGUAUAAAUGCACACCAUUGAACAAGAGGAUUGCUGUAAACAGAGUAUGCCUCACCAUUGGGACCCUAAUACCAUUUUUGCUCAAACAUUAUUUUGAGCAAGAAACUGGCAAGCAAAAUAAUCAGAAACAAAAGUGAAUACUCUUUUUAUUUUGUUUUUGGUACUGGGGAUUGAAUCCAGGAUUACUUUACCAUUGAGCUGCAUUCCCAGCCCUUCUCUUUUUUGGUUUUGAGACAGGGUCUCGCUAAGUUGGUGAGACUAGCCUCAAACCUAAUAAUCCUCUUGCUUCAUCCUCCCAUGUUUCUGGGAUGGCAGGCAAGCACCACUGCGCCUGGCAUAAUACUCUUUUAUUUCAUUGUAAUUUUUAAGUCUGUGAGAAGUUCAGUUGUGCUUCUUGUUAAAAAGAACAUUUCUAUUGCUGCAAAGGCUGUCUUGAGCUUAUGAUGAUUGUGAAACUACAAGAACAAAUGAACAAACAAAAAAAAACCCCACAAAUCAUAUCUCAGUUCUAUUAUAAAAAAUGGAGACUUCUGAUAUCAAAUGCUUUCUUCUACUUGGAAGAGGCAAAAGAGAACAGGGACUAGACAGAUUAUUGGUCCCUACGAUCUGUUAUGCAGAAUAAACAAUAAGCACUUUAGUCUCCCCCCCAAAAAAAAACCGCCUGCCAUAUUCCAUACAUGUAUUUCCAGUUUUGUCUUAGAAGGAAAGUUCAUCACAAAACUGUGUUCCAAUAACGUCAAGUAUGUGGCUAAAGUCAGUGGAAAUCCUGUCUGGUGGAUGCUAACUCAUCCUUUCUUUGUAGAUACCUGGGAGAGAAAGAGGAACUUGGAUAUCUUGCAGGGAACUAUGAACAGGAGUGAAAGCAGGUGUUUUUAGAGGUCAAAGAGAUGAUGAUUCCAGGUUGCCUAGCAGCAGAGCAAGGAUCAGAGCCCCCAGGUCCAGAUGCUGUGCUGCGAGUGGUAUAUAGGCAAGGAAGUUCAAGAAGAGGGACUUUUCUCUGUCACCUGUGACUCAGAACAGCUCCCUACAUCUCUCUCCUCCAGACUGACUCUCCUUAGCCCACUUUCAAACAUGUGACAUUGUCCCUUAAGUAGAUGUGAUGUCUCUUACGCAUUUGAUACAAUUAGCUCUUGGUCCACUUGUAUUUUUCUAUUAAAUGCCCAGUAGGUUUCAUGUCAUCUAAGCUGCAUGUUAAAGGGUUAGCAGUUAAUCCUUUAUUCAUCUAGCCUUCACAAAUUUGUAUUUAAAUUAUUAUUUUUUUCAGAACUGGAAUAUUAUUCUUGUGUCUGUCACCUUCACAAAAAAUGCAAUACUUUAUCCAACAACCCCAAGCCACGCUAAAACUCAUGUUGUCAUCUUGGCUUACAAAGCAGCGUCCCUAAUUGUACCAGUCAGUCACAUGAGGACAUUCAGCGACCUGCCUUGCCAAAUUUACCUGUUAUAAAGCUCACGGGGCACAUAGUCCCCACAAAAAAAAAAAAAAAAGUGCCAUAUGAAAAAAAAGACGGUAAUUAUAAAUGAGAACAGCAUCUGACACACUUUUCAUCUACUUUAAAUCUCCACGGUUUCAUUUUGUCAUUCUCUGGGUAAAUCUCUUGGGGAUGCUAGCUAGCAUGUUCUUUUCUCAUUUGAAAUACGCAGCUGGGAAUUGAACAAUGCUCAGCAAAUCAGCGAGGCCCAACAGUAAGAUGUAAUUUUAAUUCUCUUAGGAAAGAGUUGUGUAUUGCAUUGCAGCAAGUUGACAAAUCGUAGCCAUUGCUGUAGCAGGUCAGGAGUUAUCUCUUAGCCAACUUUAAUGAUAACCAGGGGUCCCUAGGUGACCUACAUGAGCUGAGCUGGCAGGAUGCCAAAGCAGAGAGUAGUGCCAACCACAUAAUGAAUUACAUGCAGGAACUCCAGAGAGGACUCAGCCACUUGUGAUUUCCACACAUCUUUUCCAGCCCCACAUUAGGACAUGUGGUCUUAAAAAUAUUCUUUUUAAAGAAUUGCUGGCUAUGUAUUUAUUUACAUGAAAAGGCUUAUAAAUACCAGAGAUUAUACACACAUUAUACGUUUAACAGAUCACCUUUGUUAAAAAUGAAAUGACCCAAAGUUGAGACUGUAGAGAAAAAUCCAUGCAAUAACCACUAUAGUCAUGUCACUAAAGAUAACUAGGUGGGUGUACCUGGCAUAUUAGCACACCUCCAGAUAUGAUGCUUCAGAAUAAGGAAAAAUUUGUAUCUGGAAUACCAUGUGCAUUACAGUUUAAUUUCUUCUUGUUACAAAUGGUGCUCAAAGAAGGAUCAAUUCCGGUUGCUUCCUUCAAUUUCCCUUUUGGAAUGAUUUUUGUUUUUCAUUACAGUAGGCUAUGUUAGCCUUUAUUUUGGUGAUUCUCAAAUCCUGGUGACUUGAAGGAAUAAUAUGCUGGUGGCCUUUCAUAAAGGUUACUGAACUUUAAUUUAAUCAGGGGUGAGAUGAGUGAUGUGAAUAGACCUAUAUAGUGUUUUCUAAAAAAAAAAGAUGAAGCACUUGACUUAAGAACCCACAAAAUUUUAAUUCAACCUGUUUAAAGGACUCAGAGAAGGCAGAAAGCUUUAUCAGAUUAGAAUCUGUAUGAGACUCUUGCUGGACAAGGCUGAAUUACACAUGCAAAUGCGGAGAUGAAGUUUCCAGGGUCAAAGUGUCUUAUGUUCCUUCAGGUCUCUGAGAGCUCCAAGUCUUAAAAGGACCAUUUAUUGCCAUGAGCUCUGAAAUAAAAAUGCCUCUGCCUUCUAAUAGUUUAUAUGACCACCAUGCAGCCGUACAUCAGGACUCCAGUUGCUGAAUUCAUCUACCUAGUUUCCAUGUACAGCAACUGUGGACAAGAACCCUUGAGAUACUUUGUCACUCUUAACCAAUUUAACCAAGGAGUCCUUUCACAGCUGGACUUCUUUUCUCAGGCAUGUUUGAUGGGGACAAAGUUUUGUUUUUUGUUUUUUUGAGUUCUCAGUGAACAUACAUUAAUAUCAGACUGUGCUAAACUUGUCUCACUCAAUAUUUAAAAUUUAGUAUGUAGAGAUUAUAUUAUUCCUGACUCCAAGUCUAUUUAAAAGGAGGAAAGAAAUGGAGUAUCCUAAGAACCACCCCCCACACACACACCCAAUUGAGUAAUGCUGUCCAGAAGCUCUGGAUAGAAAACCUGCUAUUUAUAGCAUGAUUUUUGAUAAUGAAGAUAACUCCUGGAAGCUCUCUCCCUUUUACCUAUUCCCAAAAUCAAAGGAUUUUAUUUCCAUGAUUUUUACUUAGCUGGGGCCAUGGUUUUCACUAGUCUACAGUUGCAAUAUAUUCCAUAGCAGGAGGCUAGUGAUAUACCCACAGUUGGGCCUUCCGGGUCCAGUAAAUAGGAAGGGAAGGCAGCCACUGAGAAGGCUGAGUUCCCAGAGUGGCAUAGUCUCACCCUUGUUUAAAAUCAAGUCAAGCUAGCCUUUCAGUCACUCUAUUUUUGUAAUGAUUUGCCUUUAGGCCUCAAAGGUCAUUUGAUUUCUGCAAUAGUUUUCUGUUCUAUAAAAAUAACAUUCCUUUUUUUUUUUUCCCGGUUGUAAUUCUUAUUAAAAUUUGAGCCGUGCAAAUGACCUAGUUACCAUGUAAUGAACCUUGUAUAUUGAUUUUGAGAGAAAAAUAUGUAUAGGAUAUGUUGAGGGGUAGAAAGAAAGACAUUAAAAACUGGAAUUAUUUUAGGUGGCAGAUUGUAAAGCAAAAAAAAAAAGUAUACCUUAUUUUGUAUACAAUGUACAUUUGGGACAGAGUUUUCUAAUAUGUUGCCAAUGUUUUUUUUGUAGUGUCACCACAGGUCUUUUCGGAAGUGUUUUCCCCCAUUUGUUAUAGACUAUUAAUGAUUUAAUGCAAUUAAGCCCUAAAGUGUGCGUGGGAGUGUGCAAGCAAUGACAAAGCCAUAGCUCUUGAUUUACUUCACUGACCUGUGUAACUUUAUGUCUGGGUUUUGCCAUCCAAGAUAGAUUGUUCUAUAGAGAGUGUCACCAAAGACUUUUUCGGUCCAAUUUAUAGAAGAAAAAAAAAAGAAAUUAUUAAU